rnacentral:rRNA from 1 species
UACGAAGGGAGCAAGCGUUACUCGGAAUUACUGGGCGUAAAGCGUGCGUAGGUGGUUUUUUAAGUCCGUUGUGAAAGCCCUGGGCUCAACCUGGGAAUGGCAGUGGAUACUGGAAAGCUAGAGUGCGGUAGAGGGUAGUGGAAUUCCCGGUGUAGCAGUGAAAUGCGUAGAGAUCGGGAGGAACACCAGUGGCGAAGGCGGCUACCUGGACCAGCACUGACACUGAGGCACGAAAGCGUGGGGAGCAAACAGG